GACGAACGCUGGCGGCGUGCUUAACACAUGCAAGUCGAGCGGUAAGGCCCUUUCGGGGGUACACGAGCGGCGAACGGGUGAGUAACACGUGGGUGACCUGCCCUCAGCUCUGGGAUAAGCCUGGGAAACCGGGUCUAAUACUGGAUAUGACUCCAUGACGCAUGUUGUGGGGUGGAAAGCCUUGUGCGGCUGAGGAUGGGCCCGCGGCCUAUCAGCUUGUUGGUGGGGUGAUGGCCUACCAAGGCGACGACGGGUAGCCGGCCUGAGAGGGCGACCGGCCACACUGGGACUGAGACACGGCCCAGACUCCUACGGGAGGCAGCAGUGGGGAAUCUUGCGCAAUGGGCGAAAGCCUGACGCAGCGACGCCGCGUGAGGGAUGACGGCCG
rnacentral:rRNA from 1 species